UUGUGCUAAAGGCAAGCCACUCGAAAUGGUGGGGCGGAAAGACAUGGGUCUGUGGCCCUUGAGGGUAUGACUGCCAGGUCGGCGCG
rfam:Clostridiales bacterium PH28_bin88 ph28_264, whole genome shotgun sequence.